rnacentral:miRNA from 1 species
AGAGGCAGGCAGAUCUCUGUGAGUUCGAGGCCAGCCUGGUCUACAAAGUGAGUUCCAGGACAGCCUCCAAAGGCACAGAGAAACCCUGUCUC